rnacentral:rRNA from 1 species
CCCUUAGAUGUUCUGGGCCGCACGCGCGCUACACUGAUGACGGCAACGAGUCGAUUCGAUCCUGAACCGGCGGGUUUGGGUAAUCUUUUCAAACGUCAUCGUGCUGGGGAUAGAUGCUUGUAAUUUUUCAUCUUAAACGAGGAAUUUCUAGUAAGCGUAAGUCAUCAUCUUACGUUGAUUACGUCCCUGCCCUUUGUACACACCGCCCGUCGCUCCUACCGAUUGAAUGGUUCGGUGAAAUCCCCGGACUGCAGCCUUGACACCCUCGGGUGACUCGGCAGUGGAAAGCGGAUUAAACCUCGCCAUUUAGAGGAAGGUGAANUCGUANCA